rnacentral:rRNA from 1 species
GAUCAUGGCUCAGGAUGAACGCUGGCGGCGUGCUUAACACAUGCAAGUCGAACGGAGUGCCCUUGAUUGAGGAUUCGUCCAAAUGAUAGGGUUACUUAGUGGCGGACGGGUGAGUAACGCGUGAGUAACCUGCCUAGGAGUGGGGAAUAACACAGAGAAAUCUGUGCUAAUACCGCAUAAUGCAGUUGGGUCGCAUGGCUCUGACUGCCAAAGAUUUAUCGCUCUUAGA